CGAGAGUGCAAGAGGGUGUGGAGAGGGGUACUGAUAUCUGAAUUAUUAGGGCAGGUGUCCUGCCAAGGAAUCCCUCCUUUAACAGAGCUUCAAUGCUGCUCCUGUUCCUCCUCUUCGAGGGUCUCUGCUGUCCUGGGGAAAAUACAGCAGUGAAGCCAGAGGCCUGGCUGUCCUGUGGCCCCAGUCCUGGCCCUGGCCGUCUGCAGCUUGUGUGCCAUGUCUCAGGAUUCUACCCAAAGCCCGUGUGGGUGAUGUGGAUGCGGGGUGAGCAGGAGCAGCGGGGCACUCAGCGAGGGGACGUCCUGCCUAAUGCUGACGAGACAUGGUGGAUAUUCCAUCUUUCUCAUCCUGAUCUGUUUGACUGUGAUAGUUACCCUGGUCAUAUUGGUUGUAGUUGACUCACGGUUAAAAAAACAGAGUUCAAAUAAGAACAUUCUUUCUCCCCACACACCCAGCCCUGUCUUUCUCAUGGGAGCCAACACUCAGGACACCAAGAAUUCAAGACAUCAGUUCUGCUUGGCACAAGUAUCGUGGAUCAAAAACAGAGUAUUGAAGAAGUGGAAGACACGCCUAAACCAACUCUGGGCCAGCUUCAUAAGCAUGUGACCUGUGCAGACACAUGGAAUCGUAUGCUCUGCAAGAACCCAUGCUAGAUUUAAUGCUCUGCUGUUGUCAUCUUGGAAUCCUUAGUCAUUUUCAAACAAGAGAUAUUGUAUUUUCAUUUUUCACUGACCCCACAAAUUAUAUAGCUGAUUCAGUGUGAAUGUAAUAUUUCUCAAUAAAUGCUGACUGAAAUAAAUUUGUUGUUAGA
rnacentral:lncRNA from 10 species